rnacentral:rRNA from 1 species
UACGUAGGGUGCAAGCGUUAAUCGGAAUUACUGGGCGUAAAGCGUGCGCAGGCGGUUAUGUAAGACAGAUGUGAAAUGCCCGGGCUUAACCUGGGAACUGCAUUUGUGACUGCAUGGCUAGAGUUUGGCAGAGGGGGGUAGAAUUCCACGUGUAGCAGUGAAAUGCGUAGAUAUGACAUAGAACACCAAUUGCGAAGGCAGCUCACUACACGGUCAUUGACACUGAGGCACGAAAGCGUGGGGAUCAAACAGG